AACGUAGGAGGCUAGCGUUAUCCGGAUUUACUGGGCGUAAAGCGCGUGCAGGCGGUCAUUCAAGUUGGGCGUGAAAUCUCUCGGCUCAACCGGGAGGGGUCGUCCAAUACUGGGUGACUUGAGGGCAGGAGAGGGAAGUGGAAUUCCCGGUGUAGCGGUAAUAUGCGCAGAUAUCGGGAGGAACACCAGUGGCGAAGGCGGCUUCCUGGCCUGUUUCUGACGCUAAGACGCGAAAGCUAGGGGAGCGAACGGG
rnacentral:rRNA from 1 species